rnacentral:rRNA from 1 species
UACGUAGGAGGCGAGCGUUGUCCGGAAUUACUGGGCGUAAAGCGCUUGUAGGCGGUCCACCAAGUUUGGGGUGACAGUUGCCGACUUAAUCGGCAAAGUGCCUCAAAGACUGGCGGACUUGAGGGCCACAGAGGGACAUGGAACUCCAGGUGUAGUGGUGAAAUGCGUAAAUAUCUGGAAGAACACCAAAGGCGAAGGCAGUGUCCUGGGUGGUCGCUGACGCUGAGAGGCGAAAGCCAGGGGAGCGAACGGG